ensembl:lncRNA
GUAGAGGCAUAUUUUAUUUGCCUUUGUUUCUUGGAGCCUAAUGCAUUUGAGGAACUUUGUGCAACAAUGACCACUUCCAUUCAGGUGGAAUUUAUUGUCAUGAAUGUACUUCCUCUGAACAAGGUGAGAGGCAGAGCGUGAGAAAAGAGCCAGGUCAAUCUUCUUGAAGGAAGUCCUAUGUUUACAUUUCAGAAUGAUGUGGAAAAGGAGGAAGGUUGAUUUUGAAGCCAGAUGGUUCUUGUUUCUGUCCUGGCUUCACUGUUGUCUUUGUGGCCUUGGAUACAACUUUCCAGAACCAUCUUAUAUUCCUACUUACUGAAGUUGUAUUAGAUGUAUGCUGUACUUUGAGACUGCAAACUU